AGAGUUUGAUCCUGGCUCAGAUUGAACGCUGGCGGCAGGCCUAACACAUGCAAGUCGAGCGGAUGACGGGAGCUUGCUCCUUGAUUCAGCGGCGGACGGGUGAGUAAUGCCUAGGAAUCUGCCUGGUAGUGGGGGACAACGUUUCGAAAGGAACGCUAAUACCGCAUACGUCCUACGGGAGAAAGCAGGGGACCUUCGGGCCUUGCGCUAUCAGAUGAGCCUAGGUCGGAUUAGCUAGUUGGUGGGGUAAUGGCUCACCAAGGCGACGAUCCGUAACUGGUCUGAGAGGAUGAUCAGUCACACUGGAACUGAGACACGGUCCAGACUCCUACGGGAGGCAGCAGUGGGGAAUAUUGGACAAUGGGCGAAAGCCUGAUCCAGCCAUGCCGCGUGUGUGAAGAAGGUCUUCGGAUUGUAAAGCACUUUAAGUUGGGAGAAAGGGCAGUAAGUUAAUACCUUGCUGUUUUGACGUUACCGACAGAAUAAGCACCGGCUAACUCUGUGCCAGCAGCCGCGGUAAUACAGAGGGUGCAAGCGUUAAUCGGAAUUACUGGGCGUAAAGCGCGCGUAGGUGGUUUGUUAAGUUGGAU
rnacentral:rRNA from 1 species